rnacentral:rRNA from 1 species
UUAAAUUGAAGAGUUUGAUCAUGGCUCAGAUUGAACGCUGGCGGCAGGCCUAACACAUGCAAGUCGAACGGUAACAGGAAACAGCUUGCUGUUUCGCUGACGAGUGGCGGACGGGUGAGUAAUGUCUGGGAAACUGCCUGAUGGGGGGGGAUAACUACUGGAAACGGUGGCUAAUACCGCAUAACGUCGCAAGACCAAAGAGGGGGACCUUCGGGCCUCUUGCCAUCGGAUGUGCCCAGAUGGGAUUAGCUAGUAGGUGGGGUAACGGCUCACCUAGGCGACGAUCCCUAGCUGGUCUGAGAGGAUGACCAGCCACACUGGAACUGAGACACGGUCCAGACUCCUACGGGAGGCAGCAGUGGGGAAUAUUGCACAAUGGGCGCAAGCCUGAUGCAGCCAUGCCGCGUGUAUGAAGAAGGCCUUCGGGUUGUAAAGUACUUUCAGCGGGGAGGAAGGGAGUAAAGUUAAUACCUUUGCUCAUUGACGUUACCCGCAGAAGAAGCACCGGCUAACUCCGUGCCAGCAGCCGCGGUAAUACGGAGGGUGCAAGCGUUAAUCGGAAUUACUGGGCGUAAAGCGCACGCAGGCGGUUUGUUAAGUCAGAUGUGAAAUCCCCGGGCUCAACCUGGGAACUGCAUCUGAUACUGGCAAGCUUGAGUCUCGUAGAGGGGGGUAGAAUUCCAGGUGUAGCGGUGAAAUGCGUAGAGAUCUGGAGGAAUACCGGUGGCGAAGGCGGCCCCCUGGACGAAGACUGACGCUCAGGUGCGAAAGCGUGGGGAGCAAACAGGAUUAGAUACCCUGGUAGUCCACGCCGUAAACGAUGUCGACUUGGAGGUUGUGCCCUUGAGGCGUGGCUUCCGGAGCUAACGCGUUAAGUCGACCGCCUGGGGAGUACGGCCGCAAGGUUAAAACUCAAAUGAAUUGACGGGGGCCCGCACAAGCGGUGGAGCAUGUGGUUUAAUUCGAUGCAACGCGAAGAACCUUACCUGGUCUUGACAUCCACGGAAGUUUUCAGAGAUGAGAAUGUGCCUUCGGGAACCGUGAGACAGGUGCUGCAUGGCUGUCGUCAGCUCGUGUUGUGAAAUGUUGGGUUAAGUCCCGCAACGAGCGCAACCCUUAUCCUUUGUUGCCAGCGGUCCGGCCGGGAACUCAAAGGAGACUGCCAGUGAUAAACUGGAGGAAGGUGGGGAUGACGUCAAGUCAUCAUGGCCCUUACGACCAGGGCUACACACGUGCUACAAUGGCGCAUACAAAGAGAAGCGACCUCGCGAGAGCAAGCGGACCUCAUAAAGUGCGUCGUAGUCCGGAUUGGAGUCUGCAACUCGACUCCAUGAAGUCGGAAUCGCUAGUAAUCGUGGAUCAGAAUGCCACGGUGAAUACGUUCCCGGGCCUUGUACACACCGCCCGUCACACCAUGGGAGUGGGUUGCAAAAGAAGUAGGUAGCUUAACCUUCGGGAGGGCGCUUACCACUUUGUGAUUCAUGACUGGGGUGAAGUCGUAACAAGGUAACCGUAGGGGAACCUGCGGUUGGAUCACCUCCUUACCUUAAAGAAGC